CUGGAGCGUUAAGAAGUGAGAAUGCCGGUAUGAGUAGCGCAAGAUAAGUGAGAAUCUUAUCCACCGUAAGACUAAGGUUUCCAGGGGAAGGCUCGUCCGCCCUGGGUUAGUCGGGACCUAAGGCGAGGCCGAAAGGCGUAGUCGAUGGACAACUGGUUGAUAUUCCAGUACUAGAUAUGAUCGUGAUGGAGGGACGCAGUAGGCUAAGAGAUGCCAGUUAAUGGAUUCUGGUCUAAGCAGUGAGGUGUAAGAUGUGUCAAAUGCAUUUCUCUCUAACAUUGAGCUGUGAUGGGGAAGCAACUACGGUUGCGAACUCUCUGAUGUCACACUGCCAAGAAAAGCUUCUAGCGUAAAGUCAUAUCUACCCGUACCGCAAACCGACACAGGUAGUCGAGGCGAGUAGCCUCAGGUGAUCGAGAGAACUCUCGUUAAGGAACUCGGCAAAAUAGCCCCGUAACUUCGGGAGAAGGGGUGCUGGUGUAAAAGCCAGCCGCAGU
rnacentral:rRNA from 1 species